rnacentral:lncRNA from 1 species
CUGAACAUCUACUUAGUGGUUAUAAAAUAUUUGCUGCUGAAAGCCACAGAGCAUUGAUAAACAGAUCCUGGACAGCUGAGUUAUUGCAAUCUACUUAACAUGAGGAGAACAAAUUAUUAUGCUUUACUUUAACACAUGCAGAAAAGGAUGGAUUCAUCUCAUUCAUGGGAAACAGAUGAGGAAUACAUUUUCUGUGAAUGCUAUUUCAAAAAGAGCACAAAGGAAAGGCCAUGCGAGGACACAGGGAGAAGACAGGCCCCUACCAGUCAGGAAGGGAGCCCUCACCAGAAACUGAGCUGGCCAGCACAAUGGUCUUGGACUUGUAGCUCCAGAACUGUGAGGAAAUAAAUUUCUGUUGUUGAAGCCACCCAGUCUGUGAUUUUUUUUAUGGCAGUACUAGCAGAUUGAUAUACCUUCCAUCUAGUUGCCUGAAAA